rnacentral:rRNA from 1 species
ACUGAAAAUCUUUGGAAUUGUAGUCUGUAUAAGCCAAAUCAGCCAUUGCUAGGUUUGUAAAGUCUUCUGGAAUGGAGCACCAAGGAGGGUGAUAGUCCCGUUCAAACUUACUUAGCUUGGUGUACGAUUAGCUUUAUAAGAGUCGAGUUGCUUGGGAUUGCAGCUCUAAUUGGGUGGUAAAUUCCAUCUAAAGCUAAAUAUUGGUGGGAAACCGAUAGUAAACAAGUACCGUGAGGGAAAGAUGAAAAGAACUUUGAAAAGAGAGUUAAAAGUACCUGAAAUUGCUGAAAUGGAACCGAUGGGAGGCAGUGUUGGUGUAGCAUUGGGUAAGAUAGCGCUUGCGUUGUCGGUUCCCAAUCUAUACAAGUCAGGCUUGCUUGGUGAUAUGGGAUAGACUUCGGUCGUCAUAUUGCUGAGUGACUCUGACAAAAUGCCUCUUAUCAUCCCGUCUUGAAACACGGACCAAGGAGUCUAACAUGUGUGCGAGUGUUCGGAGUUGAUCUCCAAGCGCGGAAUUAACGUAAAGGUGAACUUACGUUCACUGAGGUAAGAUGCCUUUGGCUGCACUAUCGACCGACCAUGAUACCUACGGGUUCAAGGUUUGAGUGUGAGCAUACAUGUUGGGACCCGAAAGAUGGUGAACUAUGCUUGAGUAGGACGAAGCCAGGGGAAACUCUGGUGGAGGUCCGCAGCGAUUCU